GACGAACGCUGGCGGCGUGCUUAACACAUGCAAGUCGAACGAAGAGCGAUGGAAGCUUGCUUCUAUCAAUCUUAGUGGCGAACGGGUGAGUAACGCGUAAUCAACCUGCCCUUCAGAGGGGGACAACAGUUGGAAACGACUGCUAAUACCGCAUACGAUCUAAUCUCGGCAUCGAGGAUAGAUGAAAGGUGGUCUCUACAUGUAAGCUAUCACUGAAGGAGGGGAUUGCGUCUGAUUAGCUAGUUGGAGGGGUAACGGCCCACCAAGGCGAUGAUCAGUAGCCGGUCUGAGAGGAUGAACGGCCACAUUGGGACUGAGACACGGCCCAGACUCCUACGGGAGGCAGCAGUGGGGAAUCUUCCGCAAUGGACGAAAGUCUGACGUAGCAACGCCGCGUGAGUGAUGACGGCCUUCGGGUUGUAAAGCUCUGUUAAUCGGGACGAAAGGCCUUCUUGCGAAUAGUGAGAAGGAUUGACGGUACCGGAAUAGAAAGCCACGGCUAACUACGUG
rnacentral:rRNA from 1 species